rnacentral:lncRNA from 1 species
UUUUUUUCCUAAUCUGUGGCUCUAAUUAAGACCAUGUCAUUUACAUACUAGUAAUUUGUAUGUAUUUCACAUUUAAUACAAAUGACGUACUUGUAAUUUACAUUCAAUUUACGUAGAAAGAGACGUUUAAAGCCUGUUUUCAUCCUCUAUGGCUGCAUUAGAAAUUACUCCGAAUGUACUGAUUUACUGCAGCAAAAAUCACGUCCUAUCUCCCCCACUUUCUUUGGGUCAGGAAUUCAGAUAGGACAUAGUGGGUACAGCACGCCUCUGCUCCAUGACAUCUGGAGCUCAUCUGGAAUGCUCCAGGGCAAGGGCUGGAGUCAUCUGAGGACUUAGCUUCAUAUGUAAGGGAGUUGAUGCUGGGCAGGUGUCCCCAAUCCCACACCUGGAUUCCCCAUGUGGCCUGGGCUUCCUCACAAUAUGGCGGCUGGGUUUCCAGGGUCAUCACACAGAGGGGAUGGGGAGGGGGACGGGCCAUGUCGCCUCUCCUCACCCAGCCUUAGCCCAGGGUAGCAUCACCAGUUCGACUGCUCGAGGCAAAACAACAGCAAAGGAACCCCACCUCCCAGGGGAAGGGUAGCAGCAUCGCACUGUCCAGAAGUUUGGAUGCUGAGACUAUGACUUUGACCUUGAGCGACAUCAGGUUAGUGGUUAGUUCACAUCAUUCUCCCCAAAGAAGAGCGAUGGGCAUGCUGACUCCUGAGCGUGGGCGCUGGCAGGUUGGGCAGAGAGGCGCACAUGGGGUCCACUUACUAAGCGUGUAGUUUUAGGUAUAUUUCAACAAAAUUCAAUUCAUAAUAAAUCAUCCUUCUAUUUUAAAGUACUGAGUUAAAAAAAAAAAAAAAUCUUUGCCUCACAGUUUCCAGGGCUUUAAGGCCUGUUCUUUCUGGUCCUGUUCCUGAUUAAACCAGGCAUCCUGUCUUGGUCUGCACUCACCAUUGAAGUCCAGGCUUGAAAUAUUAUUUCACAUUAAAAAAUCCUGUGGCUCAAGGUCAGUCCAGCAAACGAGGGAUGCCAGGCAUAAGCUGAAACUGCCACCCCUAAAAUGAAAUAUUUCAGACAAUUUUAAUCCAAGCACACGUUAAAUCCUUCCUGUGCUGCAGAUGGCGUGCAAAACACCCAAGGGCCAAGGCGAGGCCAGGGCCACAGGCCCCAGGAAGCCACGGUGGCACUUCCAGGACCCACACCUGCUGCUGCUUCAAAAGCAUAGCGGUCUUUUUCUUGGUGUUACCUCUAUGGACAAUGGACCGUGGUGACAUCAGCAACGCAUGUCACCCCCUCAAGGCCCCUUGUAGGCAGAUGCAGCAGGAGGGCUGGUGGGGGUGGGUCGUGCUCAGAGAGGAGCAGGCUGAUUCUUUGCGGGUCGGCAUGCUGGAUGCAGCUUGUGCUUAAGAAUGAGCCAGGACCGUGAGGCUGCGGAUUUGGAUCCAUAGUUCAGCCCAGAGUGACCUCUCUUCUCUCAGUGAAUGGAUGGAGGGCAGGAAAGGUCAGCGGGAAAGCUCCUGGUGUGUGGCAUUUAGGCACCAGCAGGGGAGCACAGAGAAUUCCACGCCAGGAGGCCAGCAAGGCCUGCCUGGUCACAGGAGGUGAGUCCCUCCAAGGAAAACAGAUCACAGACACGCAGCUCAGGUCCCUAAGAGGUUAUCUUUAAGUCCAGCUCAAAUUUAAACAACAGGGGCAGCAGAAUCACUGAAUAAUUCCAAAGCAAUACUGAGGAAAGGAACACCACCAUGGUCAAGUUCAGCUGAAAGUGGCAUAAUCCUUAGUUUUAAUUUUUAUUUAGUGUGUGUGUGUGUGUGUGUGUGUGUGUGUGUGUGUGUGUCUGUGUGUGUGUGAAGGCAACUCAGUUCCACUGUGGAAUGAUACAGAAGAUAAACACACAAGUAAGUGGAUCACGGAUCAGAAAAUGGGUUAAGUUCCAGGUAAAAUUCACUCAGAAGCUGCGACAGGGUGGGUUUUUUCUUUAUCUUUAGAGGAAGGAGUAGACUGUGUUUCAUGACACGCAGUUGCCGCCUUUCACCCUCGACGUGCAAGAUUCAGCCGAAAGUGGGACUCACAUGCCAGUUGUACUGAGACUGCGGUGUCUUUGAAGCAGGGACGUCAGUGAUGUCACAGAAAUCUCCGUCUGAACAGCGGCGGUCCUGACGUCUUAGCUAAUGGGUGUGUGGCCUCGAAUGUGAGAAUGGUCCCCUUCAAGCCUCCCAACAGCUAUAAUUUGUGUAAGAAGCAAAGCCUGUCCUGAGCAGAGCCUCGCCCACACCAGUCGAUUCUUCAUGGCUCCUCACAUUUCAAAGCUGUGCCUGGACCGCAUCUGGGGAUCUGGUUGGACGCAGAUUGAUUCCGCAGGUCUGGGUGGGCUUGAGGGUCCGCCUUUCUGCCUCCUGGGGAUGCCAAGCCCUCAUCCUCAGGCCUGGAGAGGGCUUACUGAGUUUGAGAGACACAGAUCACCCACUCGCCAGGCCUCCGGUGUCACGGUCAGAUCCAGCCAUACAGCCCUAAGCCAGACUCGGCUCCUGCCCUCCAAGGGUGCAGGCAAAGAGGGCACGUUUGAAGGUGGGAGCUCUGUGGGUUUGACAGGCUGGGGGUGGUCUCCACACCAUGAGAGGCGUUCCGGGGUGGGGGGAAUGUCUGGAAAGAGAGGGGUGGCCUGGCGCCCUGAGGAUAUCUGUGUUUAUGGAGACACCACCAGGCGGCCCCAGACGCUCCCUUCAGCCCGGCCUGGGGAUAAGAACCGUCCAAAGCGGCCGCGGCGGGCUCUGCCCUUUCAGAGGCCUUCGAAGGUCACAGACUGGAUGCAGUCACGAGCCAGGACAGAGAUGCUAUUUAUAGAGUGUGCUUGUCCAUCGGUAUUUCUAGUUCAUGUUCCAAAUAGAUAUUUAAUUUUUAAAAGAAGAUUCCAGCCUACGCAUCCUCCCGCUUUCCAGGGUCUUGGGGUGGGGGCAGUGCGGAUGUUGUCACCCCCACACAAGGACACGUGGUCCCUCCCGCAGGCCAAGCUUCGGGGCGCAGGGAACCCCCAUUCUGGACCCGCUGUCCCCCACCUCCUUGUCUCAUUAGACAACAUGCAGAAAAACGUGGCUUUUCCUCCCAACACGCGGGGAAUUGCCGCUGUGGGUUUGAGGUACCACCACUAUCCCUCUUUUUACGUGUCUGUUUUUAACAAAAACAUUUUCUCAGCCAGUGGUUGAACGCCCAUCAGUUUCUCUGUAAUUCUGCAAUGAUCACUGUUCGAAGUUCAGAGCAGAGACAGCCUUUGGGCCUGUCGGCGAGUAUGUACCAAAUGCGGACCGUGGGGAAAACCUGGAAGUAAUUCCGCUGAUUCUCCGCAUGGUGAUGCUUCAGGUCUGGAGACACAGUUGUGUAAACAAAACAAGUGUUCCUUCUUAUGAUGAUACACAUUAACAUUCCACCCUAUUUAAAGAAACAUAAAUACUUAGUGCGACUUCUUUUCUAAUGAGGUGACUCAACUUGGAAAGCUAGCGUGACGACCAAAACAUGUGGAAAACUUUCUGCUCGUAAAAGGCCUCAGGUCCACACUAAGGGGAGGACAGGAAAGCAAAGGAGGUCACAUUAGUCCGAGAUGGGAGGUUAAGCCUGGUCUGGGCUCAGUCAGGAUGAACUGCACAACUUGCGAACCCUUCGGCACAAUUUUAGCACUUGAGCAAAGGGCUGGCACAGUUUCAGCUGUUGCUUGAUACAGAUCUAACAUCAGCACUGCAGAACUGAAGUGACAUCCUGGGCACCCAUGAACCCCCUCAUCCAAGGCUAUAGCCCCCUUUGCAGACUCCAAGGCCCACUGAGCCCUGUGAGGGGAGCCCAGUAGUGCCCUCCAGAGCCUCCCUCUGCUGUCAGCUCUCAGCCCCUUUUCCUCCCUUGGUGUGGUUUACUCAGCCUAGGUCCUUCCCUCAGCAUGGUUUACUCAGCCUAGGUCCUUCCCUCAGCAUGGUUUACUCAGCCUAGGUCCUUCCCUCAGCAUGGUUUACUCAGCCUAGGUCCUUCCCUCAGCAUGGCUUACUCAGCCUAGGUCCUUCCCUCAGCAUGGCUUACUCAGCCUCGCUCCUUCCCUCGGGGUAGUUCACUCAGCCUAGGUUCUUAAUUAAUAAUAAUAUUAAUAUCACCCCCUCAUCUAUCGUGAUAGACCCUGUUGAUUGUCUCAUUGAACCAGCACUGACAGGGCUGUCCCAAGGCUUUCAGUGACCCAGAGCACCUGGGCAGGAUGGAUCAGAUGGAGUGGACAAGAUUGGGGAGUGACUGGAUGGAGGAUUGGGAGAAGGAGAAGUUGAGGACUGUGCCAAAGCCUUUCUCCCAAGAGGCCCUGUGCGUGGGCAGGGCGGUCACCCGACUGCAGGAGAUACCACCUGAAUUUUAAUGAUUAAGGCUUGGGGUGGCCCCCGAGACCUCUGUAAUUAGUUAAUAGUAGCUAGGUAAUUAUGCGCAUGAAAUUGAACCUGAGAUACCUUCAUGGAAGGGUGGUCGUGACUGCCUGACACUAAUUUUUCUUUUGACCACACCCACGGCACGUGGAAGUUCCUGGGCCAGGACUGAAUCCCAGCCGCAGCUGAGACCUAUGCCACAGAUACAGCAAUGCCUGUUCCUUUAACACACUGCCCUGGGGCCGGGGGUCAAACCCACACCGCCACAGCCAUCUGGGCCUCUGCAGUCAGAUUCUGAAGCCACUGCUCCUUGGUGGGAACUCCCUGACACUAUUUAUUGGCACGAUAGCCUUUCUUCUCCCUCAGGGAACGCCAGCAGCUGGGGUAGGAGAGAUAAAUUCGAAAUGUGGAAUUAACAGCUACACACUGUGAUGUUCAAACAGAUGAGUAAAACCGAUUGUAUACACAAGGAACUAUAUUCAAUAUCUUGUAAGCAGCUAUAAUAGAAAAGAUUUUGAAAAAGAAUAGAGGGUUAUAUACAUACAACUGAAUUAAUUUGCUGUGCACCUGAAACACUGUAAAUCAACUAUACCUCAAUAAGAAAAAUAUAUUUUUUAAAAAAGAAGUGAAUGCCACAGAUUGACAUGCAGAGAGGCAAAAUAACUCAUGCUUCUGUAGUAUUUAAUCCACCUCCCAAUGACCCACAGGGGAGGUAUUAUUAUUUGCAGCAUCCCUCUUAGCAGGCACAGCAUGGCCCGUCCAGGACUCACAGCUUGUAAGAGGCAUCGGGAUUUGCAUGUACAGCUUAGUCGCAGAGUUUGUGCCCUUAACCUUUACACCCUGUUGCCUUUAUCUGGAAUGUGUUGCUUAAGUAGAUAACGCCAGCAAGAUUCGAAUGGUCUUUGGGGAAAAAUUAUUUCCCCUCUCAUCUUUUCAUUCUUUCUUGAGUAGUUCCAAAAAUAUGCGGGCUCCAUGAUUUCUGCUCCAAAAGAGCUAGCAAGGAUUUAAUUCUCCUACAGAGUAAAGAUGACAUCAAUUCUCAGGGUUUGACAUCUAUAAAGUACACAAAAUUGCCAGAGAAAGUUUAAUUCACAUCCCACUUAGUUCCUUUCAGUGACGAAGGAUUUCCGUGUCAUUUCCCCAGGAUGAAAUUUCAUGGAAACCUCAAGGGCUUGUAUUGUUUGUUUUUUAUAAAUUCAGACUUGACUAUAGCAAUCUAACAGCACAGUGGGAAUGAAGUCAGGUAUUUUUUCUAAGGAGAAAAUAAUGUGUCCCUACUGCCGUAUUUGAAUUAAGAGAGAUGUUUCAUUCCACCCUUCAAGAGGUUUUAAAGAACCAAUUCCUUAGUAAGAAUAAGGUUGUAUGUUUUUAGUACAGUUUGGCUCUUGGCUGGAAGUGAAGGCUUCAAGUUCUCAUGUGUAAUUGGGUUCCUCCUCUGACCUCCCAGGCUUCGUUCCUCUAAGUCACAGUAGACAACUCCUGGCAUGUCCAGCAGUCUGGGUAUAUCAGUCAGUGUAUGGACAAGACCCUGGUGCCAACAAAACUGAAGGAACACUCCAAGACAGGGCUGCUUUUUUUCUAAUUUUAGCCCAUCGUGCCGGACUGAGGAUCCAUUGUACAUAUCAGAAGCUAACACGGGAAGUGAUUAAAAGUAACAAGAUAGAAAGUAUCAGAGAAAUCGAUCCUUUUAGAAGUCAGUGGUUGCCUCUGUCUCGUGGCUGGAAAGCCCUGGAAAGAUAUUCUUCCUGGGUAAGAAUUACCGCGUAUAACAUCAAUUGUUCAUGGCAGGACCGUGUAGUAUAUUAAUUCAUACCUCAGUGUGAGCGCCUUACCAAGUAACCCCCGAAAGUGAAGAAUGAGAGAAUCUGGGCUAAUAAAAUGCCCCAGAGAAGGGAUGUAAGGCAGAUGGCACAGAGUUCUUUGGGGUUUUCUUAGGACCUUGCCUCCAUGGCAAGAAAAACCAAGCUAUGGACCUGGUUGACCUGACUGAGCGAGUACAUAUGGGGGAUGGAUGGCGAACCAAGCCCUGGUGGCUAAGUCCUAGGUGCUCCGGAUGGAAUGACCAGGGAGACAGUGGUAGCACACCUGCUGCCCCCUGCGUCAUUCUUCCUGCUCCCCAGGCCCCACCCCCUUGGGACCGUGGUGGCACGCGGUGUGCCUUGUGAGUAAGGUAUGAACAGAAGUAGCUGUGGCCGCUCUGGGGAAGUGCUGGAGCUCUAGUGUGGGACUCCCCAUGACCUCC